AUUGAACGCUGGCGGCAGGCCUAACACAUGCAAGUCGAACGGUAACAGGAAGACGCUUGCUUCUUUGCUGACGAGUGGCGGACGGGUGAGUAAUGUCUGGGAAACUGCCUGAUGGAGGGGGAUAACUACUGGAAACGGUAGCUAAUACCGCAUAAUGUCGCAAGACCAAAGAGGGGGACCUUCGGGCCUCUUGCCAUCGGAUGUGCCCAGAUGGGAUUAGCUAGUAGGUGGGGUAACGGCUCACCUAGGCGACGAUCCCUAGCUGGUCUGAGAGGAUGACCAGCCACACUGGAACUGAGACACGGUCCAGACUCCUACGGGAGGCAGCAGUGGGGAAUAUUGCACAAUGGGCGCAAGCCUGAUGCAGCUAUGCCGCGUGUAUGAAGAAGGCCUUCGGGUUGUAAAGUACUUUCAGAGGGGAGGAAGGGAGUAAAGUUAAUACCUUUGCUAAUUGACGUUACCCGCAGAAGAAGCACCGGCUAACUCCGUG
rnacentral:rRNA from 1 species